CUCCGCCCUUGACUCUUUCCCAUGCUGCUGCUGCCCAGGACAGAUCCUUCUUGCUGCUCAGCCCCCUUUCAGGAGGUGGAAGUCCCUGAAACAUAAGGAAGCGGAAACAGCAUUACUUUCUCUGUAACUCCAUGGCCCUUUUGGAUGUCUCUUCCACUGCUGUGGACUUCUGAUUCCUGGAGCUGAAUUACAAGUCAACCUGAUACAAUUAUUGCAUCAUUUUAUGAUAGAGUGUAAAGGCAUUUUAGGAGUGCUUGUGCAGUUCAGAUUGAAGAGUGUUUCUGAGCCCCAAAGGACAGCCCAUUUAGAAGAAGAAAAUUGGGAAGAUUUUGGGGGUGAGGAGGACUAUAAUAGCAAGACAAACAUGCAUUUCACAACAUUUAUAAGUGCCAGUGACUUUCUCCUUUCAAAAACAAUAUAUAAGAAUAGAUUGUGUAUAUAUACAGUAUAUGUGAAUAAAAUGUAAAAUAACUUAAUGAAAUGUCAUACCUUCUGUAUAAAAAUUCAAGCCAUGAUUAAGAAUAUCUUUGCCCAGCUUUGAUUCAACUCAUUUUGCCAGCCUUCAUUUAUCUUCAGUCCCUGUUACAAAGACAGGCUUAAAAAAAAAAAGCUUCACAUAAUUGUCAAUAAACCAACCAGCAUCUGGUAGACACCUUGCAAAAAUGAUUUUGUGGAAGCCAUACUGAUGCUCAAAUCACAGAAGGCAAUUAACUCCACAAAAAAGUGUUUGUGAAAAAAGCUAAGUUUGGUCAAAUUGUUUCACUGUAUUUAAAAAAAUACCCAUCUCUAAGCUUUAAUUAAAUAACUUACAUUUCCAACAGAGACAUCAGAUUCUGACU